rnacentral:rRNA from 1 species
UACGUAGGGCGCAAGCGUUAUCCGGAAUUAUUGGGCGUAAAGAGCUCGUAGGCGGUUUGUCGCGUCUGCCGUGAAAGUCCGGGGCUCAACUCCGGAUCUGCGGUGGGUACGGGCAGACUAGAGUGAUGUAGGGGAGACUGGAAUUCCUGGUGUAGCGGUGAAAUGCGCAGAUAUCAGGAGGAACACCGGUGGCGAAGGCGGGUCUCUGGGCAACAACUGACGCUGAGGAGCGAAAGCCAGGGGAGCGAACGGG